rnacentral:rRNA from 1 species
UAGGGAAUAUUGGGCAAUGGGCGCAAGCCUGACCCAGCCAUGCCGCGUGCAGGAAGAAUGCCCUCUGGGUUGUAAACUGCUUUUGGGAGGGGACAAAAAGCGGGUGCGCCCGCAAUUGAGUGUACCUCCAGAAUAAGCACCGGCUAACUCCGUGCCAGCAGCCGCGGUAAUACGGAGGGUGCGAGCGUUGUCCGGAUUUAUUGGGUUUAAAGGGUGCGUAGGCGGCCCGAUAAGUCGGGGGUGAAACCCACAGGCUUAACCUGUGGAGUGCCCUCGAUACUGUCGGGCUUGGGUUACCUCUAGGCGGGCGGAAUGGAAGGUGUAGCGGUGAAAUGCAUAGAUAUCUACCAGAACGCCGAUAGCGAAGGCAGCUCGCUGGGGGUAUACCGACGCUGAGGCA